GUAUCAUAUUCACUUAAGCGGCACAUAUACUGAAAUUGGAAUGAUACAGAGAUUAACAUGGCCAUGCACAAGGAUGAUACGCAAAUUCCUGAAGCAUUACGUAUUUUU
rnacentral:snRNA from 1 species